UGCGGGGGUGCCCGGGCUUGUCCCCGGGCUGAGAGAAACCCAAUGAACCUGAUGCGGUCAGUACCGCCGUAGGGAAGGCAUUAUCU
rnacentral:ncRNA from 1 species